rnacentral:lncRNA from 1 species
GCUCCAGCCAUGCCGAAUAAAAACAAGAAGGAGAAAGAAUCACCAAAAGCAGGGAAGAGUGGAAAAAGUUCAAAAGAAGGACAAGACACAGUAGAAUCAGAGUGCUACUGUCUAAGAGCUGGAGCUACAGAGCUUGAAAUUACCACUGAAAACACUGAAAUGUUGGGCCCUUCACUGCUUCCUCAUAAGGAUACCAGAGGCAACCUGGCAUAUUAAGCUUGACACUUGGCAGAUCACUGUGUAAAUUGUUUUUCAGGAAUACAAGUUGGGACACUUCUGUUCAUUUGACCUUUGAGUUGACCCUUAAAUUUUAUUAUUGUUUUUUUUCCCCUCAGUCUUCAGCUCACUGCUUCACUUCUAGUUCCACCCACUUACCAAAUAUGAUUGACUCAUGCAGAUAGAAUGGUUAAUUUUGACUUGUUGCUUCUGCACACGUGUCCUGGAAAUAAAAGUUUCUUCCCACUACUUAUUGCUGAUUUAUUUCAUAGGAAGUCUUAAGGAAAGAGGCAAAAAACGGGCUCAUGGGUCACUUGAAGUUGGAAAAUUCUGUGGAGAUUGACAAAGGAGACUCACUUUUGAGCAUCUGUUCUCAGUGUAACCUUCAAAUCUGUGGAAACAUAACUAGGCACAUUUUAUGAUUAUUUAGAAUGUUAAUAAAUUGCUCUGAGUUUCCUCAAGUCCAUUUUGUAAGAUCAGACCAUAGGUGGGUGUUGUUUCUUUUAAGUGUGUGUACUGUGUCCAAUGUUACAUUUUUAGAAGUGUUCAUGCUUUUUGUAAAGUGAUUCGUUUUAAGCACAUUAAAGGUCGUUUGAGUAUUGUCAUGUAUUUUA